GAUUUUAAAUGAAAAAUUGGA
ensembl:piRNA 21ur-11278 ncRNA